rnacentral:rRNA from 1 species
UACGGAGGGUGCGAGCGUUGUCCGGAAUCAUUGGGCGUAAAGGGCGCGUAGGUGGCCCGGUCAGUCGAUGGUGAAAGCGCGGGGCUCAACUCCGCGUCGGCCGUCGAUACUGCUGGGCUUGAGCACUGUAGAGGCAGGCGGAAUUCCGGGUGUAGCGGUGGAAUGCGUAGAGAUCCGGAAGAACACCGGUGGCGAAGGCGGCCUGCUGGGCAGUGGCUGACACUGAGGCGCGACAGCGUGGGGAGCAAACAGGAUUAGAUACCCUGGUAGUCCACGCCGUAAACGAUGGGCACUAGGCGCUUGGGGGAGCGACCCUCCGAGGGCCGGCGCUAACGCAUUAAGUGCCCCGCCUGGGGAGUACGGCCGCAAGGCUGAA